CUCCUUAAUGCCUUGCCAGCUGGAAGGAAAAGAGCCUCUUGCAUUGCCCACAAAGGAAGCAGAGAUUGAGGGGAGAAGAACUGGAGAAAUUAAAAAAGUGGAAAGAGACAGCAACACAAAUAAAGAGGUUGAGUACCAGUAGAAACCUCAUAUUUACCUGGAAGAUUACUUUUAGGAAGCUUGAAGAAUUCUCUCUUCCAACUUGGUUAAUCUGAGUUCUGUGGCACCUACAAGAGAAAUGGCUGCUUAUAUGUGACAACCUGCAGAUCUGAGCAGCAGGGGAACAAAGGCAGGGCCAACACAAUGGCACUGGUCCCGUUGAGUCCUGGGGAGUCCUCAGCUUUCAGGAGUCCCCUGAAUAUGGGGCAACCCCACAG